rnacentral:rRNA from 1 species
CAGUCGCCGCGGUAAAACGAGGGGGGCAAGCGUUGUUCGGAAUUAUUGGGCGUAAAGGGUGCGUAGGCGGUUUGACAAGUCAUCUGUGAAAUCUAUGGGCUCAACCCAUAGUCUGCAGGCGAAACUGUCGGGCUUGAGUAUGGGAGAGGUGAGUGGAAUUUCCGGUGUAGCGGUGAAAUGCGUAGAUAUCGGAAGGAACACCUGUGGCGAAAGCGGCUCACUGGACCAUAACUGACGCUGAUGCACGAAAGCUAGGGGAGCAAACAGGAUUAGAUACCCCAGUAGUCCCUGUCUCUUAUAA